rnacentral:rRNA from 1 species
AACGAACGCUGGCGGCAGGCCUAACACAUGCAAGUCGAGCGAGCAUUUCGGUGCUAGCGGCGGACGGGUGAGUAACGCGUGGGAACGUGCCCUUUUCUGCGGAAUAGUCCUGGGAAACUGGGGGUAAUACCGCAUACGCCCUUUUGGGGAAAGAUUUAUCGGAGAAGGAUCGGCCCGCGUUGGAUUAGGUAGUUGGUGGGGUAAUGGCCCACCAAGCCGACGAUCCAUAGCUGGUUUGAGAGGAUGAUCAGCCACACUGGGACUGAGACACGGCCCAGACUCCUACGGGAGGCAGCAGUGGGGAAUCUUAGACAAUGGGGGCAACCCUGAUCCAGCCAUGCCGCGUGAGUGAUGAAGGCCUUAGGGUUGUAAAGCUCUUUCAGCUGGGAAGAUAAUGACGGUACCAGCAGAAGAAGCCCCGGCUAACUCCGUG